GAUGAAGAACGCAGCGAAAUGCGAUAAGUAGUGUGAAUUGCAGAAUUCAGUGAAUCAUCGAAUCUUUGAACGCACAUUGCGCCCCUCGGUAUUCCGUGGGGCAUGCCUGUUCGAGCGUCAUUUACCCCUCAAGCACUGCUUGGUGUUGGGCGUCUGUCCCGCUUCGCGCGCGGACUCGCCCCAAAGGUAUUGGCAGCGGUCGUGCCAGCUUCUCGCGCAGCACAUUGCGCUUCUCGAGGCGGUCGAUCGGCGUCCACGAAGCUCACCUCCACCGUUUGACCUCGGAUCAGGUAGGGAUACCCGCUGAACUUAAGCAUAUCAAUAACGGAGGA
rnacentral:misc_RNA from 1 species